GGAGAAGAAUUCUCUGUCAAUGGGCUGGUACAGCACCCAGUAUAAGGGACUGCUGGGUCUUCUGGGCAGCACUCUAAUCAAAUGUAUUAUUUGCAAAAUACUCAGCUCUUUCAGCACCAAAAGGUGCUAUAUGAAGCGUAACAUCUUCAAUCAACAUGGAAAUCUUGCAUCCCAAAUGAACCGCAAGUCUCACAUAAAAACACACAAUUCUAGAACUUUUGUUUUAUCCAGAGCAGAGAUUUAUUCACUGAAAAGAAUCCUAAAUAUUCAGAAUUUCAUUAGCGUAGAGUGCACUUUUUUUUUUUGCCGGUUGCAUAAACUAAUACAGAACCUUUUGUUAAUACUAACAAGUUUAAUUAAAUUAAUAGCAAUUCUGGAAGACAAACUCAGUUGAUAGAAAAUAUAAAAAAAAAUUUUACUGUACAAAGUUUACAUCACAUUUGAAAAGAAAAUAUGUCAAUUUCCACCAUAUUACAGACUCCAUUUACAUACGCUACUGAAGUCCUUGCUAGUGUAGCAGUACUGUACAGCAAGCUUCACAUUUACAAGGCUAAAAU